rnacentral:rRNA from 3 species
UGACCCUUUAAGGGUCCUGAAGGAACGUUGAAGACGACGACGUUGAUAGGCCGGGUGUGUAAGCGCAGCGAUGCGUUGAGCUAACCGGUACUAAUGAACCGUGAGGCUUAACCUU